GACGAAGGGGGCUAGCGUUGUUCGGAAUUACUGGGCGUAAAGGGCGCGUAGGCGGCCACCGCAAGUCGACUGUGAAAUCUCCGGGCUUAACCCGGAAAGGUCAGCCGAUACUGCGGGGCUAGAGUGCAGAAGGGGCAACUGGAAUUCUCGGUGUAGCGGUGAAAUGCGUAGAUAUCAAGAGGAACACCUGCGGCGAAGGCGGGUUGCUGGGCUGACACUGACGCUGAGGCGCGAAAGCUAGGGGAGCGAACGGG
rnacentral:rRNA from 1 species